rnacentral:rRNA from 1 species
CCUACGGGUGGCAGCAGUGAGGACUAUUGGUCAAUGGGCGCGAGCCUGAACCAGCCAAGUAGCGUGAAGGAUGACUUCCCUACGGGUUGUAAACUUCUUUUAUAAAGUCAUAAAGUGAGGCACUUGUGCCUUUUUGUAUGUACUUUAUGAAUAAGGAUCGGCUAACUCCGUGCCCGCAGCCGCGGUAAUACGGAGGGUCCGAGCGUUAUCCGGAUUUAUUGGGUUUAAAGGGAGCGUCGAGGGGUUGGUAAGUCAGUUGUGAAAGUUUGCGGCUCAACCGUAAAAUUGCAAUUGAUACUGGCAGCCUUGAGUACAGUUGAGGUAGGCGGAAUUCGUGGUGUAGCGGUGAAAUGCUUAGAUAUCACGAAGAACUCCGAUUGCGAAGGCAGCCUACUAAACUGCCACUGACAUUGAUGCUCGAAAGUGUGGGUAUCAAACAGGAUUAGAUACCCCUGUAGUC